ensembl:lncRNA
GGAGGAGGAGGAGGAGGAGGAGGAGAUAAAUGUGUAUGCGCUGCUGCCGUUGGUCAGAGACACUCGGAGACACAGAGAGGACAAAGCAUCCCCGACUCCAGACUCAGCAUCACCAACAGACGAGCAGAGAUGAGGCCUCGGUCCAGACUGCCCCCCAAGCAGACGCUCCUCCUGCCCACAAUCACAGAGGGCACCGAGGAGCUGGCGAGAGAGAUGAACGACGCCAACGCGGACCGCGGCCGCCCGGUCGGCUCCUCCGAGGACUACCUCCUGUCCAUCUGCCACCUGGCCCACCCCACGUUCCCCACACGGGACCUCACGUCCCAUAGCAACCGAGACGGCAAGAUCGGUUGCUAUGGAGACGCAGACCCACUGGAGCACAUCUACGGUCAUCCCAACUGCAGCCUCCAGUGCGGAAGACGGCGUUCCACGUCCAAGGAACGAACGAGGGCGCACAGCGUCCCCAACACGUCCACUCCAGACCUGACCCAACAACGCAAACGCAGCUGCCCCGAGUUACACAACGCCACCCGAACUGGACCAAAGACGACAGACGCGACGGAGGAGGAACGGCCGCACCCCGCCGUCAAACCGUCCCUCAUUUCACAGUGGAUCUCGGACUGUAGGGCGGCGUGGAGAGAGACGCGUGCCCGAGCCUGUCUGCUGCCCGCCAUCGCCGAAAUAUGAGGCGUGGUCAGUGCAGAGACUCCGCAGAGAGACGGGCAGCUGAGCGCGUGGCCAGUGCAGGUAGACGGGAUGAGGCGCGUUCAGUGCAGGUAGACGGGAUGAGGCGCGUUCAGUGCAGAGAGACGGGCAGCUCCAGUUGUGGUGGGACAGUCCUGUUCUUAAUGAACCAAAACCACAUUAGCCAAAUGUCUUCACGUUGUGGACACUGUUAUUCUGACACACACGAGCAGAAUGUGACUCAUAUCAUGACAAUAAACACUCUCCUGUGUCUGUGCUGUUAAGCACACUACAUACAUGUUCACGUGUGGAAAAUGCAGAUUAUUUCAUGUUUUGAAACGUGUUUAGGCCGACA